CCUGAAGACAGUCCUGUGACCGAAAGAUCGGUCUGGCUAAAUCCUCAGGGUAUUUUGUCUCCUGUGGGCACUUUUACCCCUAAAUCUCAGGGACCUGGGACUGAGGGUUGCAUAAAAGCUCAAAGGAACUUGUGCAGCACAGCUGGGGCCGGCCACAUCCCUCCUUACCUUCACGGCCUCCCGUGCUCCCGCUGGCACCAUGCUAACCAAGGCCCUGGUACUCACAACCUGGUUCGCCCUCGCUGUGGCUUACCCCGUAAUACACCAGGGUAAGUGCACAGUUGGGAAGUCACCAUGGGAGAAUGAAACUAAAAUUCUUUUAUAGGGUGUGUGAAUGCCAUGCCGGGUCUUUCCUCAGGAGAAAGAGAACCGGAGAGACCAG
rnacentral:lncRNA from 12 species